ensembl:lncRNA
CUGCAGGCGUCCCGAGGGGCAGGAUCGUCUCCGGAGCCGACCGUGCCAGGGCUGGGCCACGGAAGGCGGAGCUGCAGCAUGUGGAGGCCCUUUGUGGACAGGUGCACAGGCCCAUCUCUCUCCGAGGCGCUACCUGCGGUUUACUGGACGUUUAUUAGAAGCCCACGCAAUAUCGUGAAGCACCUGCAGGCAAUAAAACCCUUUACAUGUGUGAGGCCUUGAGGAAAUUAACGGCUCCUCCCUGGGGAUGCAUAUUUCGUGAAGAUGUUUAUUACAGAUGAAGUGCUCCCGGGGUGGAACAUUAACAAGUUGUAGAGUGAUAAAAGGAUUUUUAUCCUUUUUCAGUGACAGAGGUAGGAAGAACGCUUUAACGGAAUCUAUAAAAGGCCCACUUCCUAAUGAAUUUUCUUUACUCUUUAUUAAUAGGGUUGGCUGAGCGGAGUCAGGGUCCUUGGAUGGCUGGACCACUGGACAAGGGGAAUGGAGCCGACUGGAGGGGGUGCGGGGCUUGGAUGCUGGACAGAGAAUGCGUGAGGAAGGUCUGGGUUCGAAUUCCAGGCACUGAAGACCACGGGGAGCCUGGGCGGGUGAUGAACACGUUCUGCCCCAGGAAAUCAUUUGGAGGCCGCUCCAGGUGAUGGGGUGAGUCAGGCCAAAAGGCAGGUUCCAAGCCCCUCUUUUUAACCCCCUGUUCCCCGCUCCGGCCUGCAGGCCAUUACCGAGAUGAAAGCCGGGAGAAUGCCUUUGGCCCAGGACUGCGGAAUCUAAUUGAAUUAUAUGAACGCAGUUAAACGUCGGCUUCAGAGAGGCAGGCCUCGCUUUCAAGACUGGAUGCUUCAGGAGUUAAUGGGCUAUUUGAACAAUAUAGGCCAAGAGCCGAACACAGAUGAGGAAACUGAGGCUCAGAGACAGGAAGUUACUUGCUCAAGAAUCUCCAGCUGUCCCAUUGACCAGCUGAGUGGCCUCGCUUCACCUCCCUGACAACAGCGUCUACAUCACGGGGUUCGGGCAGUGGUGUGCUGCAAUCAGUUCAUACUGGCUCUCAAGAGGUGCUUGUGAAAUUUUCAGGAAUUAAUUUUGUGAGCUGCUUGUUAAAAGCAGUCACUGUUAAAAAUAAAGUUAUACAAACUUACCAUUCAAUAAAUGGCCUUAAAAUUAAAAGUAACAAAUACUCCGAACUCAUCAAUUCCUAUCAAUUCACUUCACUUUGCCAUCAUCGGCGCUCGAGGUUGUCUGCGUCUAUUGUGUCCGUGUGGGGGAAACACCAUAGGAUGGCGUGGACACCACCCCCUGCACAUCACCACCUACUGCCCAUCUCUUCCCAGCUCCACCUUCGGUGACAUCAGGAAGGUAGUUUGAAAUCACCCACGGUCGGAGUAUUUACAUCAUGGAAAUUGGCAAACUCCACGAAUCAGGGUUGGUUGUUUGUUCUCCAGAGAGCUGGUUGUGAGACUGGUACCAGCACCCCGCGGGAUUAUAGAGAAGAGUCGAUGAAGAAAUCUACCUAGAGCUCUGAGCACUCAAUUAAACAUUGCUUUGAUGAAGACUAUGAGUGGUGGUGAUGGCAACAAUGCCAAUGAUGUCAUGCUCCUCAUGCUUCAACCCCCAAACCUCUCUCUCCAGCCCAGGCCUGCCCUCCUGAGCUCCAGACCCACCUGGCCCCAGCUUCCUGGCCACUUCCACUAGGAUGCCCAAGAGCCCAUUGGACUUGACACGUCCAGAACAGAAUCUCCCGUCCAGGACUCCCCAGCUCAGGGUUGAAGGCAGCCUCACCAAUUGGUGACAUUUGGACAGAGACCUGGAGAAAGUGACAGUGUGAGUCUCCAGGCAAAGGGAACAGCCAGUGCAAAGGCCCUGGGUUGGGACUCUGGGCUAUCCAAGGAACAGCCGUGAUUGGAACAGAGUGAUCAGCAGAGGAGUGAUAUGACAUGUGAGGAGGCGACUGCAAUCAUCCUGAGAAGAGAUGCUGGAGGCUGCGCUGGACUUUGGCUCAUGGGCCAACGUGUGACCAGGCACAAAGGAGAUGCUUAGUGAACACAUCUUGACAUGAACUAAAAGAUACGGUGAUAUUAACAGAGGGAAUGCCAUUUGGCAAGAACGCGAAGGCCAUCUGUCAAAGGGAAGCUUCUACAGGGUGCCGGAGAUGCUGCCCUCAACAAAACAAACGUGUUCCUACCCUCCUGCAUCUGCCCCUCCAGGGUUUCGGGAACUUCCAGAAGUUGGGUGUGGCCAGAGAGUCGGGGGGGGGGGGCGUGGAGAGCUGGAGCAGAGUUAAAUCAUCCUGUGCCUCG